AGGCUUUUUCGGAAGGGGAAAAAUUUGAAAGUUUCUUUUUUCCCGCCGAAAAAGCCUGC
rnacentral:pre_miRNA from 1 species